AUGGCUGUGCGCGGUCUCCCGCUCUGCCUGCUGGCCGUCAGCUGCGCGAUGCCUGCGCCGAGCGUGGGCCAGGGCUGUGCCGCGCAGCGAAUGGACAACGCCAUCAUCGAUAUCAACUUGUCUCUCCCCAUGGGUAUCCGAGGUGCGGAACCAGUGCACGUUUCAACACCAGAGGCUUGCAUACAUGCCUGCUGCUUGGGAAAAAAACUGUCAGGAGACAAGAAAUGUAACUUUGUGAUUUUUGAUGCUCAAAGGACAAGCACACAACCAAACUGCUACUUGUUUUAUUGUCCUAGCACAGAGGCUUGUCCUAUGAAACCUGCAAUGGGGCUUGUGAGCUACAAGAUAGCUCAAGACACCCAUGCUCUGGAGGACACAUCCUUCAAAAAUGAGGACUUCAAUUCAAAUGAACGCUCUGUACCUUCAGAUGCCGGAGCUUUUAUUUCUCAAAGUCAGGCUAGCCAUCAGAAUCAUACCCCUGCUUUGCAUCAAUCUGUUUUUCAUCAAGCAUCUGAACUCCUGAACCAUAUGGAUAAACAUGUAGACAGCACUGAAUUUCAUACAGUUUUCCCUGAGUCACAAAGGGCAGACAAUCCCAAGAGUUUAGACCCCUUGCCAAGGCAGAAAGUAAUUAAUCCACCACCAAAUACAUCAUCUACUGUUCAAAUUGGAAACCCUUCUGCUUUGUUCCCCACCACUGAGUCUAAUGUUCCCAGUCCCAGCAGUACUACUGUUACUCCUCUGCCUACAAGUACUGUCAGACUGAAAUCUCAUACAACUUCUUUGUUUACAGGUGGUGCCAAAGCUGGUACUGUCACUAGGACAACAACCUUUAUGCUUACUGCAAUUGCUAGAGCUGAACCUGGUAUCCCUGCUGCCAAGAUUGCUGCUACUCAUGUUUUCCUUUCCAGUCCUACAACUUCUGCUUCUAGUUCUACAGCCAAGUGGGUGACCUCAAAUCCUGUAACAGCCACGAGCUCAGCAGGGCUCAGAACUUCAUCCAUACCUCCUGAGCCAACAGUUGUCUCUGCCAGUUAUACCAGUCAUGUUACCCUUGUCUCUUUUUCAAGUUUUGCUCUCUCUACUAGUGCUUCCCCAAUGGCUUCCCAAAACAACCAUCAGGGUUAUGACCCAUCUGAUUCGGAAGACCACCUCUCAGAGUACGUUCAGAGAAGAAAAGGCUUUGUUCAGCUGGAAGACAAAAACAGACUUGUAGUGGCUUUACUUUUUGGGGUGAUAUUCUUGCUCUUAGUUAUUGCAAUCACAGGGAAGAAAAUGCAUGAAUCUCUUCAGAAGAGACAAUAUACCAGGUUGGAUUAUUUGAUCAAUGGAAUGUAUGCCGAUGUAUGAUGGAGGACAGGGAAUAGAUUGUUAGGAGCAUUUAUCAUCUUUGUGAGAACUACUCUGAAAGUGAAGAGUGGAUACGAAAUCUCAGACGAGGAUGCAUUCCUUUUUUGGUCACCAGUGGCCACAUGGUUUUGGUGGGGAAGAGAACUGCUGUUUCAGACUGAAUUAUAAUGCCUAUCAUUUGAGUUAGUAUCAAAUCCUAAGUGCAGACACUCAAGCUAAGCAAAGAAGUUCUCGUAUUUAAGGAGAAAAAUAAUUUCAAGAGUAUGGUCUGUGACUAGAUUAGCAGAAUAGAAUUUGACCUAGUUAAUUGUGCAGCACAUGAGCACUUUCACUGUUUUUUGCCUCCAAGUACAUCAGUAUUACACAAGUCUGGCAUCAUGUAAGUGUAUAUGGCAUCCUGUAUACUCUAUCUGAGCCUUAAGUGAGUAUUGGGUAGUAGUAUAUAGCAUCAAAAUGGUUUUAGGUACAAGGAGUAAACUGUUAUAUUCAAAACAUGUUUGGCUUAACUUUCCUUAGCUACAUUGUGUUCACUGAUAUUUAUCUUGAAUGCUUCCAAGUGCAUAAAUCAUAAGCUAUACUUAAAACCACCUGCUGCAAAUUUUAGUUUGCCUUUUCUGAAGAGAGCACCACCCUCUAGCAGGAUUCUUUGCAGGAUAUGUCAAAUAGUUUUUAUCAUAUCUAGUUAAACAAAGCUGGAAUCUUUAUAUUUUUUUCCAUGUCAAAUAGCACAAGCAAGCAACUUGGUGUAUACCAGACAAUCUGUUCUACUAUACUUAAACCUAUUAUAGUUGAAACAACAAUUAAUUGUAGAGCAGAUGGAAACUUGUGAAGGAACUGAGCAAAGACAACAGCUGUAUUAUCAGCAGAGGACACAGAAAAAGUAUGGUUUCUAGUUCUUGAAUAUCUAGACAGAUUGAAGGGAAUUAAGAAAGUAUUAAGUAACAUUGAUGGAUGUGUUGUGCAAGAGUCCCAAACUCAGAGAUAUUUCCUGCAGUCAGAGAAGCAUUACCUUAAACAACUUUGCAUUAUCUUUCUGUUUCUAGCAUUCUUUUAUUUCCCUCACCAGUCUGGUGGCUCUUAAAAGCACUGCUUGCAACAGGGCUAGAGAUGAUAGAAGCACACACAGAAUCACAGGACCUCAAGAGAUCAUUGAGUCCAAUCCUCCUGCUUGAACAGGUUCCCUACAGUAGAACACGCAGUCUUUCAGGUGACAGAACACUGGCACAGAUAGUGGAAUCUCAUCCUUGGAGAUCUUCAGAAGCUGCCUGGACAUAGGCCUGAGCACCUUCCUCUGGAUGACCCUGCUUUGCAGGGGUGGAACCAAAUGGAUCCAGACAUCUUGCCAACCUCAGUGAUUCAGAGAUUCUGCAUGGAAGUGAGUGGCUUGAGAAGAAUACAGGUAUCUGGAUGUGCAGAGAUGGGACCAGGAAAACCAAGGCAUAGCUAGAGCUGAACUUGAUAAGGGUGUGAAAAAUACUAAUAAGGGACAUUGGCCAGAAGAGAAAGGCCAAGGAGAUUGUACCCCCCCUGAGAAAUGAGAAGUUAAAAGUGGUAACAACAGACGUGGAGAGGGUUGAAGUACUCAAUAAGUUCUUUGCUUUGGUGUUCACUGGCUGUCAGGCUCUCCAUGUCUCUUUCAUCCUUGAUCCUUUAGUGGGAGGUAGGAGGAGCAAAUCCUCUCUCACUGUAAGCAGAGAAUAAGUUUGAGACCAUUCAUAAUUAAUGGAGUGAUAGUUUUUGUAACAGGCCUGAGUUUGGACUCAGUCAUGAUUUUACUGUUUUUUUUGUUGUUUUUUUUUUUUUUUUUUGCACAAAAGCUACCAGAGGCAGCUUAAACUUCAUAAAGAAGUAGCCUGUUUAUGAGGAUUGCAUUUUGCAGGAGCAGUUUGGUACCUGCCACAUCAGAGAAGCAGCUGAGUUUCAUAGAGUUUCCAGCUGAACAUUCAAAAGUCGCAGGGAGCAUCUCCACAUUUGCUCUGUGUGCCCUACUUAAACUGAGAGAAUUAUGUUAUUAGUGGUGGUUAGGCUUUGAAACUGUGGCUUUUACAGCUCUUCUCAACAACAAAUCAAAAAUUUGCAUGAAGUUCAAACAUUUAUUCUUAUGUUGGAAGAUGGUAGAGAAACACAACACAGACUUCCAAUGAGCUUGCCUGCUGUUUAUUUAUUUUUUUCAGUGUUUUUCUGUUUGGUUCUAUGAAUGAGCCUCUUUUUUUUUUUUUUUUUGCCUAUCCCUAAAUCCAAAUUCUAGUGACAGUUCUGAAUUUUUCCCACGUAGUCCAUUAAGUUAUGAAUGAGAUGAUCUUUGUCCUUCAGUGGCCACACACUGCUCUAUCUUUGCACAUGCAGUUCCCAUUUAUACUAGUGUGAGGUCCUCCUGCACAUGGUUUAUGGCUGUCGGUCAAGUCCUCACACUUAGUGGCUUAUAUCUUUUCAAAACAAUUGCCUUGUAGGGUGACAUGACUUUUCAGCCCAGAGGUAAAAUUUAUGAUAGAAUCUGAAGACAAUUUUCCCAGCUGCUUCUGAUUAUUCAACUAUGACAAUGUUUUCCUUGUUUUGUUCCAGCGCAUGAAAUAAGGAGUUCAAAUGUUUCUCCAUCAUCUGAUAUCUCAGGCACAGUUUCCAGAAAGAAUCCAGUUCUGGCACACGCUACUGAUGUCUUUACAGAACCAGAACACUGUUUUAGAAAAGCCAAAAAUAAUUUAUUUGGGAGGUAUAGCUUUAAACAAGUGAGAACAGCUCACACUAUCCUGCUUGCUACUAAACUUAACAAGAUACACAUGUGGCUUUCCUACAUAAAACAAGGGUAUGCCUCAAGUGAACUCUGUAAUGGGUGGUGUGUUUUGAAAAGUGACAGGUCUGAACACUGAAGUUUAUGCAUGUGUUUUGCCUGGGAGAGAAUGUAAACUUUACCAGAUAUCUGUUGGAAACUUCAUUUCAAGGGUAAGUUUGAGGGCAGGUCAAGUGUCACAAUGUUUUUGGGGCAGCCCAAAUCAGGUAGCACUAGGGACAACAGUGAUACUUCUCCAAUGGCUACCCUAUUAUUUGGUAACUGGAGUGAUUUCCAGUAGCCCUUUCUGCAUACAUUUUUUUUAUCACUCUUCAUGUUAUUGAUAACAGUGUGCAUGCUACAAGCAGUUCAAGUACAGCUUCCUUACUCAUGUUUAGAACGUCUCCUGAGUCUCUGGGAUAUCAGGCAUUUGAAACAUAGGUUAUCAUAAGGAACAAACCAGACUGAACUAAAAUGGGUAGAUGUGGCAGCUGUGGUCUAUGACCAUGCACAACAGCAGAUUACCAUGCAUCAGCUGGCAGGUAGCUAUUGUCCCCAAGUGAGACACCAGUUCUUGUGCUUGUUCUGGUGUGUGCUGACAUCUAUAUUACAUCUAAGACUGUGGAAGAAAUAUGGGCUUGAAAAGUUAAUUGAAAAGAUAAGGUAUGUUUUCUGGGGUAAAGUUCAUGGCUUUAUAACAGUUGCUGAUUUCUUUAACCUUUUGCUAGUUUCCACCUAGUUGAAUAUUGCUGAAAUCCUAAUCAGGAAUUGCCUUGAUCUUAAUGGGCUUGGUAAAACAAAAUAGGUCUCCACAGAAAUGAAUUUGCAUAUCCCUCAUUUGGAUUUUGACUUAAAUUUUAAUAAAUCUUGCUUGAAUCUCCAACUCAGCUCAAUUCAUAUUUAUUUUACUCUUUUACCAUCAGUAGUGACGACUCACUAUCCAACUUCUACCUUCUUUUCGUGCACAGCUGUUUCUUUGCUAUCUAAUUUGCUAUCUAAUGUUGUCCAAAAGCAGAGGUUUUGCUCAGGUAUCUGCUGACUUUUCUUUUCCUGUUGUUUCCAGAUCUUCCUGUUGAAAACGGAACAGUAUUUUAAACUUCAAUUUUGAUCUCAUAAGCUUAAUUUUGAAAUGUUAUCUAUGUAAUAAAAUAAGUGAUCUGCCAGUACUGCAGUGGUGAAUGCUUUUUGCUCACAAAGCACUUCUUCUGCACCUACUGAAAUAAACAAUGGCAUCUCAGACGAAGCAGAUUUUGCCCUUCAUUUGUCUUAAAAAGUCAUUACAAGUGUUCCAGCUAUAUUGUGAGCAGACAUCUCAAAUGUUUUGUCUAAAUGUAAGUAUAAAUCAUAGCAUGUUUCUGUUAAAAAGAACACUUAAAAAAAACCUGUUAGUUACACAGCUGAGUAUUCAAAAUUUUGUGUGCAUAAACUAGGAGAGCUACUGGGGCAACAAAUGAGAUGAAUAGCUGUAUCUCUUCUGCUGGUGAUCACACUGUACUGUAAACCAAACAGAAUUAGUGUAGUUUACCCAAACCUGGCUUUCAUAAUAGUAUGUGAGUAGUAAGAUGGUGCUAGAUGAAGUGGAAGCAAUAUCUAAAUAACUGGUAUACACAAUGCACUGCGAACAUUUUUUUCUCCUAUUCUUAAGCAAUUUAGGUCUUUGGUUCCCACUAUUUUUCUGGAUUUUUUUUUUUUGUUUGUUUAUUUGUUUUCUAACACAGUGACCAGCACACCUUUUGAUAUAUUGGGUUCACAAUUUAUUGCCACAGAAUUCCACAAGAAGCACAUGUAUAUUCUCACUAACAUUUCCUCUGCCACCAUUUCUAAACCACAAAUGUAGAUAAUGCUCUAAACUGUUGGUUCUUACAACUCCUCAAGCUUCUCAUAUUUAAAAAAAAAAAAAAAAAAAAAAAAAAAAAAAAAGUGUUUUGAGGAAAAAUAGCAUUUCCAUAUAAUGUUCAAAGAAAAGGUUUCUUAAUAAUGCCAAGAUUAAAUGGGGAUUUUAUUCUGUGUAAGCCUUUUUAAUAUCAUUCCAAAGGUAUUAGAUUUUUUCACAAUUGCAGUAAGGAAAAAUUAGUAGAAGUUGCAUUCACAGCAAAGCUCUGACACCGAAAAAGGCAUUGGAAGGAGCUUUAUGUGUCAGGCCUAUGCAAACACAAUUUGCUGUCUUUAAUUCAAAGAUCCACAUGACCAACUACUGUCACUGUGGGGUUUGUUGGAGAGGUAAGAGAAAAGAAAAGGAAAAUGAAUUGGUUGGAUAUUUUCACUUUUCUUUAUGAGAAGAGAAAACAGAAUCAACUUAAUUCAUAACUGAGUAUGGUGAUUCUUUAAUACUAUUUUUAUAGCAGGUGCAACUGCUUAAACAAGUAUAUUUGAGGCACGUGUCUUUCUCUGUGCUUUCUUUUAUUACUUAUCUACAUUUAGUUGUCAGUUUAUGAAUAAUCUUUAUUCAAGUCCAUGGUGUAAGGAAGUUAUUUGAAGAACUAUGAAAAAGCAGCAAAUGAGACCUUAGUCACAUAUAACUGCCUCUUCUAUCCCGCCAUCGUGUGAAGAUGGAGGUACACGCCUUAAGACACAAAAAUCUUUAUAUACACAACCAGAGCAGUUUUGAGGACCCACACUCAUUCCUGUUCUAAAAGACAAUGAAAUCAAUGUGACACAUUUAGUCGAUGCCAGUGCGUGCAGGGCUUUCUGCUGUUCUGGGCCUGUAUUUCAAAUAUCUUGUGGAGACAUAAAUGCUUAACUGUCCAGUACUUAGCACUGCUGCCAGUUGAUAGUGGGGUAUAUGAGAGAAUUUGGAAUUUGGUUUUCACUUAGCCAUUGUCCCCAAAUCCUAUAUUUCUAAUUUACGGAUCAGUUUGAAUCUAAGAAACUAGAAAUUCUCCAGCUAUCUUAAAAAGGCGUGUUUAAAAUGGGUAGACAGAAUGCUGCUGACAGUUAUCCUUGGAUUUCAUGCUUUGAAAAGAGAGCAAGGGCUAAUAAGAACUAUUAUCAGCAUUGCUAAUAUUUGA